GUAGGUGGCAAGCGUUGUCCGGGGAAUUAUUGGGGCGUAAAGCGCGCGCAGGCGGUUCUUUAAGUCUGAUGUGAAAGCCCACGGGCUCAACCGGUGGAGGGUCAUUGGAAACUGGAGAACUUGAGUACAGAAGAGGAAAGCGGAAUUCCACGUGUAGCGGUGAAAUGCGUAGAGAUGUGGAGGAACACCAGUGGCGAAGGCGGCUUUCUGGUCUGUAACUGACGCUGAGGCGCGAAAGCGUGGGGAGCAAACAGGAUUAGAUACCCUGGUAGUCCACGCCGUAAACGAUGAGUGCUAAGUGUUAGGGGGUUUCCGCCCCUUAGUGCUGCAGCUAACGCAUUAAGCACUCCGCCUGGGGAGUACGGCCGCAAAGGCUGA
rnacentral:rRNA from 1 species